CUGCACUAGGAUACGAACCUGACAGUCUGCUUCUUAGUUACAUUUUCUACUGAGAAGCACUCUGUGAUUGUUGGGUUUUGCAAGUGCUAUAUUAAAAAUAGCCAUGAGAUUUAAGCUCAGUGUGUGAAGUGACAUCCUGGGUUAUAACUCAGAGGCACAGAG
ensembl:scaRNA